rnacentral:misc_RNA from 1 species
GAAACAGAAGCAGCAUCCAAUAGCCUGAACAAGAAGAAGAUGGAUACAAAGAGACUUUUCUGACUUUCUGCCAAAAAUUCUUAAAUAAACAUUGACAACUGUUCCAUCAUUAGUCCCGGUUAGCAGUCCUGUCUGAGGAUCAAACCUAGGCAGACGAUGCCGUGGGCAAUAAACAUAGCCAGAAAGCUGAACAAGCAGAAUCACAUAUUAGACAUCCUAUUGGAAAACCAGAGAUUCAGAACUAGAAAGAGACGAGUUAUCGGAUCAAAC